UGCAAUUGCUGAUAUAGCUGUUUGCCUGCGCUGCUGAAAUAUUGCGUGCGCGGCGACUUCUAAAUUGGUAGCAUUUCCGUUACAGUCUAGAAAUCUCCUUACACACUUUGUUUUCUUAUUAGAGACAAAUUUGCUUUGGUCAGUGACUGUGUAAAAGCAGUUCUGCUGGCCAGAGGUUUUAACAAAACUCUUUUUCGUUUUCCCCUGGAAGAUUGAAAAUUUGUAUUAUUUAUUGUCAGUUAACAAAAGUUGCUUUGCAGCUUUUCUAAACUUUAAAACUUUCAACAACGGAUCUCUUGGUUCUCGCAUCGAUGAAGAACGCAGCGAAAUGCGAUAAGUAAUGUGAAUUGCAGAUUUUCGUGAAUCAUUGAAUCUUUGAACGCACAUUGCGCCCUCUGGUAUUCCAGAGGGCAUGCCUGUUUGAGCGUCAUUUCCCUCUCAAACCCUAGGGUUUGGUGAUGGGCAAUACUCUCGUAAGAGAGUUUGCUUGAAAUGUAUUGGCAUGAGUUUUUGAUACGAACUUUAGCUGUUUAUUCAAUGUAUUAGGUUUAAUCCAUCGUUGAUUGACAA
rnacentral:misc_RNA from 1 species